rnacentral:rRNA from 2 species
GGGCCGGGGCUGCGUGCUAUACAUGCAAGUCGAGCGGAUCUUUGAGAAGCUUUGCUUCUCUAAAGAUUAGCGGCGGACGGGUGAGUAACACGUGGGCAACCUGCCUGUAAGACUGGGAUAACUCCGGGAAACCGGGGCUAAUACCGGAUAAUUCAUUUCCUCUCAUGAGGGAAUGCUGAAAGACGGUUUCGGCUGUCACUUACAGAUGGGCCCGCGGCGCAUUAGCUAGUUGGUGAGGUAACGGCUCACCAAGGCAACGAUGCGUAGCCGACCUGAGAGGGUGAUCGGCCACACUGGGACUGAGACACGGCCCAGACUCCUACGGGAGGCAGCAGUAGGGAAUCUUCCGCAAUGGACGAAAGUCUGACGGAGCAACGCCGCGUGAGCGAUGAAGGCCUUCGGGUCGUAAAGCUCUGUUGUUAGGGAAGAACAAGUAUCGGAGUAACUGCCGGUACCUUGACGGUACCUAACCAGAAAGCCACGGCUAACUACGUGCCAGCAGCCGCGGUAAUACGUAGGUGGCAAGCGUUGUCCGGAAUUAUUGGGCGUAAAGCGCGCGCAGGUGGUUCCUUAAGUCUGAUGUGAAAGCCCACGGCUCAACCGUGGAGGGUCAUUGGAAACUGGGGAACUUGAGUGCAGAAGAGGAAAGUGGAAUUCCACGUGUAGCGGUGAAAUGCGUAGAGAUGUGGAGGAACACCAGUGGCGAAGGCGACUUUCUGGUCUGUAACUGACACUGAGGCGCGAAAGCGUGGGGAGCGAACAGGAUUAGAUACCCUGGUAGUCCACGCCGUAAACGAUGAGUGCUAAGUGUUAGAGGGUUUCCGCCCUUUAGUGCUGCAGCAAACGCAUUAAGCACUCCGCCUGGGGAGUACGGCCGCAAGGCUGAAACUCAAAGGAAUUGACAGGGCCCGCACAAGCGGUGGAGCAUGUGGUUUAAUUCGAAGCAACGCGAAGAACCUUACCAGGUCUUGACAUCCUCUGACACUCUGGAGACAGAGCGUUCCCUUCAG